rnacentral:rRNA from 1 species
UACGUAGGGGGCAAGCGUUGUCCGGAUUUAUUGGGCGUAAAGAGCGUGUAGGCGGUUUGGUAGGUCCGCUGUGAAAACUCGAGGCUCAACCUCGAGACGCCGGUAGUGAAACCAUCAGCUAGAGUCCGGAAGAGGAGAGUGGAAUUCCUGGUGUAGCGGUGAAAUGCGCAGAUAUCAGGAAGAACACCCGUGGCUAAGGCGGCUCUCUAGUACGGUACUGACGCUGAGACGCGAAAGCGUGGGGAGCGAACAGGAUUAGAACCUCCGAG